rnacentral:rRNA from 1 species
AUUGAACGCUGGCGGCAGGCCUAACACAUGCAAGUCGAACGAGUGGCGGACGGGUGAGUAAUGUCUGGGAAACUGCCUGAUGGAGGGGGAUAACUACUGGAAACGGUAGCUAAUACCGCAUACCAUCGGAUGUGCCCAGAUGGGAUUAGCUAGUUGGUGGGGUAAAGGCUCACCUAGGCGACGAUCCCUAGCUGGUCUGAGAGGAUGACCAGCCACACUGGAACGGAGACACGGCCCAGACUCCUACGGGAGGCAGCAGUGGGGAAUAUUGGACAAUGGGCGAAAGCCUGAUGCAGCCAUGCCGCGUGUAUGAUGAAGGCCUUCGGGUUGUAAAGUACUUUUGGCAGGGAGGCGUUAUCCGCAGAAGAAGCACCGGCUAACUCCGUGCCAGCAGCCGCGGUAAUUC